AUACGAAGGGGGCUAGCGUUGUUCGGAUUUACUGGGCGUAAAGCGCACGUAGGCGGAUUGGUCAGUUAGGGGUGAAAUCCCAGGGCUUAACCCUGGAACUGCCUUUAAUACUGCCAGUCUUGAGUAUGGAAGAGGUGAGUGGAAUUGCGAGUGUAGAGGUGAAAUUCGUAGAUAUUCGCAGGAACACCAGUGGCGAAGGCGGCUCACUGGUCCAUUACUGACGCUGAGGUGCGAAAGCGUGGGGAGC
rnacentral:rRNA from 1 species